GAACCGCUGGCGCAAUGGUAGCGCAUCUGAUUCCGGAUAGCUGACUCUGAAUCUCCAGAAGGUCCCGUGCGAGUCGGGUGUGGUUCC